rnacentral:misc_RNA from 1 species
AACACUGUUAACCUGCGGUACCUGCGGAGGGAUCAUUACCUUUCUUGCCCUUCGGGGCACAGUAGGGGCUAUACUUGCUAUAGCUUCUAUCUGCAUCCUUGUCUUUUGCGUAUUACAUGUUUCCUCGGCGGGCUUGCCCGCCGGUUGGACCAUUCUAAACUCUUUGCAAUUGCAAUCAGCGUCUGAAUAAUUAUAAUAAUUACAACUUUUAACAAUGGAUCUCAGAUCGGAAGAGCACAC